rnacentral:lncRNA from 1 species
UUUUUUUUUUUAAGAUUUUUUUUUUGCUCUAAUGUAUAUGGACAUGUUUUUAAUUUUUUUGACAUUUUAUUUUUGAGAUUUUGAAUAGAACUGUUUCCAAGGUCCAAAAUAUUAUUGAAAUGAUGUCACUUAAUAAAUCAACUUUUUAAAAAUUCUAUAACAUUACUUCAGUGACUCCUCUCCAUAAUGUUAUGAUCUCACAUCUCUAGCUCUCUUGGCUCCCACUGACAGAUGAAGGGAAAUAUGAGAUGCGUUUAUGUUUUGAGAAGAUUUGCUCAAAGUGUCACAGUAAUUCUCUAGUAGAAAAAUACAUAAGCAGUAUCCUUACCAUACCGCCAAACCCACACUUUUUAAAGCAAGACCCAAAAAAAAAAAAAAAAGACUAAAGAUUUCCCUUCCCAAAUUACUAGGCAUUUCAAGAAACAGCAGGUUUUAAAACAUCUUAAAUGCAGCAUCAUCCUUGUAUGAACGUCAAAGAGAGAUGAAACAUAAUUAAAAAGAGCUAACUGGUUUGUUUCCCCCUCUCUCAUUUAGUGUUCUGGUAACUACUUAUGAAUUAUACUUGAAAAUGAAUCCCUUCAUAAACUCAUUCUUUAUUUAGCACAUGAGGACUUGAAUAAAAAUGAAGAGCUUCUCCCCUCACAGUCAGACUGUAACCUUUAAACUAUGGAACUGAAGGAUCGUACCCAGUAAAAAUUCUUUGUCUAGUCUCCAGCAUGACAGUAAACUCAUUAAAGAAAGGCCUGAAAUUCUAGUACCUUCCACUGACCUGAGGCUCCAUGGCAACUGAAGUCCUUCCUUGCAGGGCACUCGGAAGAACUGCCACAAGCUCAACAAGGGGAAGCCGAAAACCCCGCUUUGCUUUGGGAUAUCUGGUACACAACUCUGCUCCUUGAGAGGGCACAUCUUCCCACUUCUUGCCCGAAAGGAACCUGAUACCGUUACACUAAGGCAUGGCGGACUCAAAGGGACAAGUGUGUUGUAGGAAUACAAGCAAGCAAAAGUGCUGCCAUCAUCGUCAUCAUCAGCAUCAACGUGUGGUGCGGCAGGAUUGGGAUUUACACCUAUUGCUCAGCUACAGGCAAAAAAAAAAUGUUAUUUCUGGGGCACCUGGUGGGCUCGGUCGGUGGAGCGUGGGACUCUGGAUCUCAGGGUCCGGAGUCCCACCCCAUGGACAUAGAGCUGACUUACGUACAUAAAUAAAUUUUUAAAGAAUGUGACUCCAUUUCCUCACAGUUAAAAUUCAAUUUGAUCAGGACCACUGCAUUUCUGAUUGUGGCAGAAAAGACAAUCUUGCCACUUUCAGAAAGAUUUAAAAAUUCUAGUUGCUUCAAGGCAAUUAGUCAAAUUAAAUCUACCUCAACCUGUGUCUCCGGGCUGUGCUCCUUUCCCUUCCUUGCCCUUCUCCCCCCCAACCCCUGCUCCAGAGUCAGACGACAGACCACCACAGGAUAGGGGCCGACCUAGUCCGGGCACUGCCCUCCGUGCCCUCCCUGGCCUCCGUUGGAUGUUUCUUCCCUUUGUCUUUGGGUGUUGGUCUGGUUCUGCUGCUGUGACUGGUAGAUGGAACCCAACUAGCGUCCAUGCUUCACUCGGUGCCGCCUUCGCUCUGCCUCCAAGCCUCUCCCACCCAGCUCCCUCUGCACCUCCACAGGUGCCCGCGGGGGCCUGCAGGCCCUUGGCAUCCCUCCUGUGCCACAUGUAGGCUUUGGGGAACUGCUGCAGACAGCAUGUCAGGGCUUGUUCCCGCCUAAACGUGCCCCACUGCAGGGCACACACCACGGGUGGCUUCCUCCCAGGGUUCCAGACGGAGGCAGAUUCCCCUGCACCCUCCUGGAGCGGGGGAAUGUCAGCCACCCAUUCAUUUAUCUCUAGUCUCCUCUAAUCUCUACGGGCUCCAUGCUCCAUCCCAGGGAGGCAUUUCUUCCUUCCCGCAGCCUCCUUCCUGCCUGGCUCACUGUACAAUAUAUGCCGGGCCUUCCCGGGCCUUCUGAGAUCUGCCUCCUUGGAAUCCACGAUCAUUUGUCCUCUAACAAAGCCUGCCUCUUUUGAGUGAAGGCCUGGGCUAACUCUGGUCUCUGAAACAUGCUUCGAGGGCCUGUUUUGAAAGUCAAAAGCUGAACAACGUCUUCUUUGUCCUAGACCAUAUUCGGUCCUCCCCCUGAAGUAAUGGAAUCCUUAGCCUCAAUGGGGGAGACUCCCAGGGCAACAAGAAUUAGAAGGAAGGGAAAGUAAAUUGAAUACUAGUUUAAGAUAUUAUCACCACUAAAGCAGCUCAUCAUAAUGCAAGGUUUCAGAGAUCCCGGAACACUCCUCCAGGAUUUAUUUUUAUUUUUUUAAAGUAAAUUCUACACUCAACAAGGGGCUAGAACUCAUGACCCCAAGAUCAAGACUUGCAGGCUCUGCUGACUGAGCCCAACAGGUGCCCCAUCAUCUAGGAUUUUUUUUGAAAGUGCAACAUGUUGACAUGUCAUCCUUCUACUAGAAGACAGUCAACCCUUGGACAACAUGGGUUUGAACUGUAUAGGUCCACUCAUAACCUGGAUCUUUUUCAAUAAAUACUGUAUGGUACUGUAAACGUAUUCUCUUACGGUUAAUUUUCUUAAUAUUUUCUCUAGUUUAUUGCAAGUGUACGGUACACUGUAUAUAAAACAUAUGAAAUACAUGAACCCACUGUUGAUCAGUAGGCUUCUAGUCAACAGCUAUUAAUAGUUAACUUUUCGGUAGGUCAGAAGUUAUACGUAGAUUUUUGACUGCCAAGGGGUCAGCACCCCUAAUCUCUGUUGCUCAGAGGUCAACUGCAUACAUAUUUGAACCAAGGGCAAAAGAGGACUAUGGCCUGUGGUUUCUUGAAGUAUUUAUAUCUAAUGUCCUUAAUCGCUAUUCGACAUUUGAGUGGAGAUCCAUUCAACAAGAAGCCACCCUUGUGCAGCAUCAUUUUAGAACUCUCCACUCCCCUGGAUUUCCUCUUGCCAAGGCCUUCCUGACUUUGUUUCCCCUAAUCCAUACCUGCUGUUUUCACUCAUCACAUCCCUAAAACUUCAGUUCCUUCCUUACUGUACCCACCACCCCAAUUCCAGCUUGCUCCCCUACCCAGCCUGAAUCCUACUUGCAGCUGAUUCAACUGAUGUUUUCUUUAGUCUCUUAGAAUAUCCUCCUCACUUGACUGUUCAAAUCAAUUCUCAACUCUAGGUCACUACAAGGUCAGAUUUUCCAUUCCAAAGUAACAAGUACUACCAGGCAAAAAAUCACAAAACUGGCCUAAAGCGAACCAUAAAAAAUACCUACAAAUUCCAAUGGGGCCUCACUAUUUCUCUGUAACACUUUUUUUAAAGACUUCAUUUUUAAGUAAGCUCUAAACCCAGUGUGGGGCUCAAACCCACAAACACCAACACCAAAAGUCACACGUUCCACCAACAGAGUCAGCCAGGCACUCCUCUCUGUAAUACUUUUUAUCCACCUGCUAACAUGUUAUCCUAUAUUUUCAUGGCUGUUUGGACUUUUUCUAGAUUCUCCAAGCCCCUCUCCUAUACCCAAACCUUCCAACCUUGGAUGAUGGCUCAGCCUCCAAUGUUACUGAAAAGCUUCAGGACCCCCAUGUGUCAGUAUCUUCAUCUGCCUUGCAGUGACAGUUAGAAACCACAUAUGAAAAAUACUGGGCCUUCCCCUUGGUAGGCAUUCAAACUUGCAAAUACUUUUCUGUGUGUUCUUUCUUACUCCAAGAGACUGGUAAUUUUUAUCCCUGUAAAAGCUACAGUGCGUUGAAAAGUGGCCCCCUUCCCAUAAUAAAAUAUGCCAAUCUGGAAUCUGUGAAUGUGGCCUCAGAGGGAGAAAAGGUCUCUGAAGAUAUAAUCAAGGAUCUUGAGAUGAGAUCAUCUUGGAUUAGGCUGGCCCCUAAAUCCAGUGGCAAGUGUCCUUAUAUGAGGAGAAGGCCAUGCAAAGAUGCUCAGAGGAGAAUCUCACGUGUUGGAGGCAGAAAUCGUAGUGAUGGGUCUAAAGCCAAAGGAUACCAAGGACUGCCAGCAGCCCAGGAGCUAGGAAAGCAGCAUGGAACUGACUCUCCCUCAGAGCCUCCAGGAAGAGCCAACUGCAGUGACACCUUGAUUUCAAGACUUUUGGACUCCAGAAGUGUAAGAUAAAUUUUCCUGCUUUUUUAAGGCACCUAGCUUGGGCUAAUCUGUUGCAGCCACAGGAAACUAAGACAAGUGUUCCUUCUAUGUCCAUCAAGAUCUUGCCCCUGCAAACCUGUUGCUGAUCCUCUCCUAACCAGUAUCCCUUCUUCUCUAGUCUCACCAACGUCACCCUCAUUGAUGGAUCAUUUCUGCGUGCUCCAGCUCAUGGUUCUGAAAGCCCAGCUGAGUGUCCUGGUAGGGAGCACAGAGCAGGGCUCUUCCCAGUGGCAGUUCUGACUCUCAAGUGCCUGGGAGCAUUAUUGAGCAUUAGGGUGCAAGUG